rnacentral:rRNA from 1 species
CCUACGGGAGGCAGCAGUAAGGAAUAUUGGUCAAUGGACGCAAGUCUGAACCAGCCAUGCCGCGUGAAGGAUUAAGGUCCUCUGGAUUGUAAACUUCUUUUAUAUGGGACGAAAACAGAUCUUUCUAGGUCCUUUGACGGUACCAUAUGAAUAAGCACCGGCUAACUCCGUGCCAGCAGCCGCGGUAAUACGGAGGGUGCAAGCGUUAUCCGGAUUCACUGGGUUUAAAGGGUGCGUAGGCGGGUAGGUAAGUCAGUGGUGAAAUCCUGGAGCUCAACUCCAGAACUGCCAUUGAUACUAUCUAUCUUGAAUAUUGUGGAGGUAAGCGGAAUAUGUCAUGUAGCGGUGAAAUGCUUAGAUAUGACAUAGAACACCCAUUGCGAAGGCAGCUUACUACGCAUAUAUUGACGCUGAGGCACGAAAGCGUGGGGAUCAAACAGGAUUAGAUACCCUGGUAGUCCACGACCUAACGACUAGAUACUACGACAUACGCGAUACACAGUGUGUGUGUGAGAGAAGACGAAUUAAGUA